CGGAGGAUGCAAGUGUUAUCCGGAAUCACUGGGCGUAAGCGUCUGUAGGUCGUUAAAGUCUACUGUUAAAUUGAAGCUUAACUUCAAGAUGCCGUAGAACUUUAACUUGAGUAUGGUAGGGUAGAGGGAAUUUCCAGUGGAGCGGUGAAUGCGUAGAUAUUGGAAAGACCACCAAUGGCGAAGGCACUCUACUGGGCCAUUACUGACACUGAGAGACGAAGCUAGGGGAGCAAAUGGGAUU
rnacentral:rRNA from 1 species